CUCUAACAAGCUAUGGCAAACAAAGUGAGACUGCUCGUCUGCGUUCUGGCCCUGACUCUGAGCAUUUACACGUAUCGAUACUAGCUCACUGCCACUUCGUCCUCAAAAUUCGCCAUACAAUUCCAGUCUCGUACCUCGCCGCUUCAAUCUGUCUCUCUCAUCCCUCAUUCAUUCGUUCGUCAGCCGUCUAUUCGUCGUCAUCCAUUCACCGACUGUACAGUGACACGUCAAGAAGCCAAAACCAACGGUACACAGUACUACAAUGCUGCAUGUGAGGCACAUGGAGAUGAAGGAAAGUGGGAAUUCCAAACACAAACAUCGGAUGAAGAUCUUGAGCCAUGCUCCGUCAUUCGCGAGUAUGGCCCCCCCAGGAAACGGCAAAGAAAGGAAUGAUUUGUUUUAUGUCUAACGUAUGUUUAAAAUUUUAAGUCUGUAUUAAUUAUUAAAGUGACGUGUACACUUUUCUGUAAAAUGUGAUAUUAUUGUGAUGUAACACUGCUACCAUUAAUUAUGUCCCUCAUUUUUCUUAUUAGCUUGUAGUUAAAAAUUUUAAAUGGCAAUUAAAAAAUACGUUAUUUUAUUCCUUGUGUUUCUCUGAGUGUGCCCCAAGAAGGGGCUGGGCGUCUCAACUGUUGACAAUUUAUUGAUUGUAA